rnacentral:rRNA from 1 species
CGAACGCUGGCGGCGCGCCUAAUACAUGCAAGUCGAGCGAGAAGGUGUAGCAAUACACUUGUAAAGCGGCGAACGGGUGAGGAAUGCAUGGGUAACCUACCCUCGAGUGGGGAAUAACUAGCCGAAAGGUUAGCUAAUACCGCAUACGUUUCCGGGACUUAGGCUCCGGAAAGAAAGCAAUACCGUGGGUAUUGCGCUCAUGGAUGGGCUCAUGUCCUAUCAGCUUGUUGGUGAGGUAACGGCUCACCAAGGCUUCGACGGGUAGCUGGUCUGAGAGGACGAUCAGCCACACUGGCACUGCGACACGGGCCAAACUCCUACGGGAGGCAGCAGUGGGGAAUAUUGGACAAUGGGCGCAAGCCUGAUCCAGCCAUGCCGCGUGAGUGAUGAAGGCCCUAGGGUUGUAAAGCUCUUUUGUGCGGGAAGAUAAUGACGGUACCGCAAGAAUAAGCCCCGGCUAACUUCGUGCCAGCAG